rnacentral:tRNA from 1 species
UGCUCUGUGGCUCAAUUGGUUAAAGCGCCGGUCUAGGAGUCGUGGGUUCUAAUCCCACCAGAACGC